AGGAUUAUUGAACGCAACUGGCGCUAGCUGGUUCACCGACUAGCUGCUUGUUUCGUGUCUUUUUCUUUCCUAACCGAAAUCAUAAUGCGAGAGAUACACCUUCUCUUGUUAACAUGAAAGCACUCUGCGCUCUGCGAGCGACUUUGAUUCGUCUUAGUCGCACUCAAUGCAGCAGUCACAUUGUUUACAGUGUGAACUCAUUGAGAGUAGAGGCAGCGCGGCCUUACAGCUGCAAGCGCUUAGACACUCAAACUUUUCUUGUAUCUGAAAUCAAGCAGGACCACCCGCUGAACUUAAGCAUAUCAAUAAGCGGAGG
rnacentral:rRNA from 1 species